CUCUGUAUUGAACUCUCGGAGGGAAUACGCUGCGUUUCCUCCUGUUCUUUAUCAAAGUCCCCAAAAUAAGCUGGAAUGGGCAGUGACUUUGCACAGUCUCUGCACACCUUUUCCACUUACUAAUUAGGGCCUGCCUCACAGAGAGAGAGAACACGCUGCCUGGCUCUGCAAGGGAAUGCCCAUGCUACAGAUUACAAGUAUGAAUCUGCUUGGAGCUGCCCUCCUCUCCCUGGCCAUGUUCAGCGUCUGCACUGCAAAUGCAAAAGAAAAGUCAUCUAUGACUCCAACAUCCAACAACAUUCAGUCGAUUCCAGGAGACACACUCCAGUUCAGUACUCCAACAACCAAGAACAUUCAGUCCACUCCAGUUUCCAGUGAUUCAACCAUUACUACAAACAGUAGUAUAGAUGUCUCAGUUACUUCAAAUGUUACCUGUGAACCAGUUUCCCAGACCAACUCUUCACAACAACCAACACAGGUCACUACAUCACCAUCAUCAAUAAGAGAAGCAAAUGACAAAACUAGUAGUGGGAAAACUGAAUCACUGCCAGCGAGUUCUGUGAUGGCAGCAUCAGACUCCACUUCAAUGAUGGCUGAUCCGACUACCAGUGUAAUAACCUCAGAACAUAGCAAGGGUCAUCAAACCACAUCUAAUGUUGAUGGGUCACCUCCAACUCUGGUAACAGGAACCAACGCAAUAGUCCUCAAGGCUGACGCUAUAAGCCCACACAAGAAAUCAACAUCAACACCAAGUCAAGGCAAAUCUGGUAGCAAUGACAAACAAGCGGAUACUGACCAAUAUUCCAGUAUUAUUUUGCCAGUUGUGAUUGCCUUAAUCGUAAUAACCCUUUCUAUAUUCAUUCUGGUGGCUUUGUACAGAAUGUGCCAGAGGACAGCCCCAGAGAGACAAGAGAAUGGAACUGAACAAGCCCCAACAGAUAAAGAGGGUGUCAAACUUCUUUCUGUAAAGACAACUUCUCCUGAGACUGGUGAGCACAUCUUUCAGGGAAAGAAUAGAACUCACCAACCUGAUGAAUCCUCCUCACACCUGGGCAAUAAAUAUCAAUUUGCCUAUCAAGAGCUGCCCCAUCAUCCUCAGAGAGCUGAGGGAUUUUCAUACUUCUCAAAUAUCUACUUAUAAGUUCAGGAUUUGGAUGUUCCAAGUAUGGAAAAGAUCCUGUAGAGUUAUGUUUACUUUCCAAAACAGAAAGUUCUUUAACCAAUCUCUCUUCUUCAAGAGCUCUCAUCUUUUUGAGAUGUGAAGCAGCCUCUUUUACCACGUUAUAAAGGAACUGCCCUCUGACGUUGCAGUUCCACAGAGGACAUGUGCAUCAGCUGCAGCUUCCUACAGAGAGGCAGGACACUUGUGUUAAUUGUUCUAUGAUUAGAUUUCCAUACUCUAAAUGCCUCGUGUUUUCUGCUGGACUCUUGUGUUUUCUUGAUGGCUACAUAACUGAUGUACUGUACAUAUUUAUUAUUUCUACAUAUAUCAAAGCAGAGAAACUUUCAGGAAUGAUAAAAGUAUUGUAAAAAUCUGGUGGUGUGACACUAAUAAUGAUGUCUUUCUUGUACAUAGAAAUGUUUUCUUCCCGUACAGGAAGGAAUAUGUUAAUAUAUUUUCUUGUACGCUCAAUAAAUAGUCUUCUUAAAUCAUAUGUACUGGAUGGCAAACUUGGGGCCUGAUCUUUCAAACAUUAGUAUGCAAAAUUAUCAUUACCACAUGUACAUCCAUUGACUUCUUUGGGGCUACUCAUAGUAGUAAGCACUUCACCUGGUAGUAAAUGUCUGCAGGAUGGGGCACUUAGAGAUAAUAGAGUGGUUUUGUUCUUGUUUUUUUCCAUGAAGGGGGCAAUUUUACCAAUUACAUCUUACAUUAGAGUUUUUUUUAAAACACUGCACAUGGUCCUUAAAAUGCAAACUAAUUACAAACAAAUAUUAUAGUUUAUUUUUGACUGUUCCUUGGGUAGUCACUUUGUUAUAUCUGCUGUAAAAAUAUUUCCCUGAUAUAAUCUGCAUAAUAUACUGAGGAUUCAAAAGGCAUUUACAAUACUACAGGCUGCAUUUGUCAAAGGAAUAACAACAGUGACAGGCCUUGUUUCUCAAAUUUUGAGUAAUGCAUGGAAUUCCUAUUCAUUAUUUAUCAGCUCUGGAAAUUUAAUGAUUCCUUCUAAUGAUAAUUACAGAAUAUCUCAAUUUAUAGAGCACUUACGUAAAUAUCUAAAUAGUGCUGCUCCCUCCAUGUGUUCUGCUUUCCUAGAUAUAUAAACCUUGGGAAAUAUAAUAAUUUGAUCAGUCUCAAUCUGUUGAUUCGUUUCAUUUAUUUGCUGAAAUAUGAAAAUGAGACACAGCAGUCUCAAUAGUGGUCUAAACAGGAUUGAGAGCCAAGAAUUCUUAUUCUAGUUCUUCCCGCUAUGCGUUCGGGCAAGUCACUGAGCUCCUCUUUCUAGUUUUGCCUCUCUGCAAAGUGGCAACAAUAACAUCUACCUACCAGUCUCACUGGGCUGUUGUGCAGAUUAAUUAGUUAAUGUUUGUACAGUACUUUGAAGAUGAAAAGUGCUCUUCCAGUGGUAGGCAUUAUCAGCUGUGUUGUUUUCUCUUUGAUGGGUCUGACCCUGUAUCUAAGAGACUCAAAGGAAAACUUUUCUAUGAAGCACUGUGAAAGCUGGGCACCAAAUCCACGAACCAGUGUACUACAGAUUGCAGCUGAACUUCUAUGCUUAGAUAAAGCAUUCUUUGUGCUGGAUCACCUGAGUGACUCGGGAGAGUUUGGUUGAGCAAAAGCAUCAUGAUGGCUGUACUUUCAAAAGGUGAGGCUAUCUAAAACAUGCAACUUAAGAGUUUAUAUAGAGUAUUAUACCCAGUUCAGCACCCUGACUGCUGAGGAUUCCCAAUAGAAAGAAGAAUCUAUGCGCAAGUUUUCAUGUAAAUGUAAAAUAGGUGUUUCGUCACACAUUCUUUAGAGGGCAGUUUGAAAGAGCUGAGAAAUAUGAGUGUGGAAGAUAAAUAUCAGUGAUUAUGCAAGAUUUGUUGAGAAACUGUCAUGAAGUGUCCAGAUAAUGUUAAUCUUAUAAUAAAACUUUAUCUGUAUUAAGA